GAGUUUGAUCAUGGCUCAGGACGAACGCUGGCGGCGUGCUUAACACAUGCAAGUCGAACGGAAAGGCCCCCACCUUGGUGGGGGUGCUCGAGUGGCGAACGGGUGAGUAACACGUGGGUGAUCUGCCCUGUACUUCGGGAUAAGCUUGGGAAACUGGGUCUAAUACCGGAUAGGACCAUGGUUUAGUGUCUCAUGGUGGAAAGAUUAUUGUUUUGGUGCAGGAUGAGCUCGCGGCCUAUCAGCUUGUUGGUGGGGUAAUGGCCUACCAAGGCGUCGACGGGUAGCCGGCCUGAGAGGGUGGACGGCCACAUUGGGACUGAGAUACGGCCCAGACUCCUACGGGAGGCAGCAGUGGGGAAUAUUGCACAAUGGGCGCAAGCCUGAUGCAGCGACGCCGCGUGGGGGAUGACGGCCUUCGGGUUGUAAACUCCUUUCGUUAGGGACGAAGCCGCACCUUUUUUUGGGUGUGGUGACGGUACCUUUGUUAAGAAGCACCGGCUAACUACGUGCCAGCAGCCGCGGUAAUACGUAGGGUGCGAGCGUUGUCCGGAAUUACUGGGCGUAAAGAGCUCGUAGGUGGUUUGUUGCGUCGUCUGUGAAAUUCCGGGGCUUAACUUCGGGGUGGCAGGCGAUACGGGCAUAACUAGAGUGCUGUAGGGGAGACUGGAAUUCCUGGUGUAGCGGUGGAAUGCGCAGAUAUCAGGAGGAACACCGAUGGCGAAGGCAGGUCUCUGGGCAGUAACUGACGCUGAGGAGCGAAAGCAUGGGGAGCGAACAGGAUUAGAUACCCUGGUAGUCCAUGCUGUAAACGGUGGGCGUUAGGUGUGGGGACCGGUUUGGUUUCUGUGCCGUAGCUAACGCAUUAAGCGCCCCGCCUGGGGAGUACGGCCGCAAGGCUAAAACUCAAAGGAAUUGACGGGGGCCCGCACAAGCGGCGGAGCAUGUGGAUUAAUUCGAUGCAACGCGAAGAACCUUACCUGGGUUUGACAUGCACCAGACGGUUGUAGAGAUACGUACCUCCCUUUGUGGUUGGUGUGCAGGUGGUGCAUGGUUGUCGUCAGCUCGUGUCGUGAGAUGUUGGGUUAAGUCCCGCAACGAGCGCAACCCUUGUCUUAUGUUGCCAGCACGUUUGGGUGGGGACUCAUGAGAGACUGCCGGGGUUAACUCGGAGGAAGGUGGGGAUGACGUCAAAUCAUCAUGCCCUUUAUGCCCAGGGCUUCACACAUGCUACAAUGGUUAGUACAACGCACAGCAAACCUGUGAGGGUGAGCGAAUCGCUGAAAGCUAAUCUCAGUUCGGAUUGGGGUCUGCAACUCGACCCCAUGAAGUCGGAGUCGCUAGUAAUCGCAGAUCAGCAAUGCUGCGGUGAAUACGUUCCCGGGCCUUGUACACACCGCCCGUC
rnacentral:rRNA from 1 species